UACGAAGGGGGCGAGCGUUGUUCGGAAUUACUGGGCGUAAAGGGCGCGCAGGCGGCUCUGAAAGUCAGAUGUGAAAGCCCCGGGCUUAACCUGGGAACUGCAUUUGAUACUCUGGAGCUUGAGUACGGGAGAGGAUAGUGGAAUUCCCAGUGUAGAGGUGAAAUUCGUAGAUAUUCGCAAGAACACCAGUGGCGAAGGCGGCUCACUGGCCCGAUACUGACGCUGAGGCACGAAAGCGUGGGGAGCGAACAGG
rnacentral:rRNA from 1 species